UCUAGAAUCUUACACGUCUACACCGAGCCUGACUAGAGGAGCCUCUAAGCCAGACAGCCUCAGAAGUGAAAUGCAGGUGGACUGGACAGGAUACAAUAUUAAAGGACUUCUGGGGGCAUUUAUAUGCCUUUAUUGUGGAUGGAGGAGAGAAGACUGGAGUGAGAGUAGAAACAAAGUUCUGAACUCGGAUCAUGGAUGUUGCAGUUGAUGGUCAGCGUCCCUAGGCUGACUUUCACCUUCCAAAUCUAGUAUGCUGACUUCCAAAACCAGUUUAUCCAAGCUGGUGCAUUAAAGGGUAAGUUUGGAACUUUUUACAUCGAGCCAUAUAAAAAAAUAUUUCCUGA